UACGGGGGGGGCAAGCGUUGUUCGGAAUUACUGGGCGUAAAGGGCGCGUAGGCGGCUCGCUAAGUCGGAUGUGAAAACUCUGGGCUCAACCCAGAGCCUGCAUUCGAAACUGACGAGCUCGAGUUCUGGAGGGGAAAGCGGAAUUCCUGGUGUAGCGGUGAAAUGCGUAGAUAUCAAGAGGAACACCUGAGGCGAAGGCGGGUUGCUAGGCUGACACUGACGCUGAGGCGCGAAAGCUAGGGUAGCAAACGGG
rnacentral:rRNA from 1 species